rnacentral:lncRNA from 1 species
UCCCCUCAGCCGUCUCCGUCCACCAUUACGGUGCCUCCACCUGCAGCUCCCAGGAGAUGGGGCCGGGCGGUGUCUGCGUCCGUGAGCGUUUUUGCAGGGAGAAGCUGGAGUUUGAUUCUUCCUUUUCACUGAAGUAGCGGGCUUGGGACUGGGAUGUCAGAAAUUCUGGCUUCUUGCCUCUAAUGCUGGCUGAGAAGGGAAGGGAAAGGUGUGGACCACUCCUCACCUCGCUGCUUCCUCAAUUUUCUCAGCCUAGGGAUGGGGAAGAUCAACCCUUCUCCCCUCCCACAGGGAUGAUAUGAGGUUAAAGAGAUUUAUCUUCCCCCGAAUCAAUUCGAGAGGCUUCGGGCUCAGAAUCAGGUUCUGAAAAAAGGUGUUGUGGAUGAACAAGCAAAUUCUGCAGCUUUAAAGGAGCAACUGAAAAUGAAGGAUCAGUCAUUGAGAAAACUACAACAGGAAAUGGACAGUUUGACAUUUCGAAAUCUGCAGCUUGCCAAGAGGGUAGAACUACUUCAAGAUGAACUAGCUCUAAGUGAACCACGAGG